UUUCCAAAACCAGUUCUCACUUUGUUUCAGGUGGCUAGGUAUUCUUAGUCUCUAAGCUUCCUUUAUAAUCCUGUUUUCCUGUUUCCUUUCUUUCUAUAUCUGAUUGGUUGCCAGCAUACCUUGUUUUCCUUUAUAAACGUCCUCUCUACUCAUGUUGAUACUGCCUUUAUCCUGGCCUUUUGCGCCACAUACUUGGGUUUGCCACAGUCUCUUCGCUUACCUCCUUGUUCUGUUUAUCUCCUUCACCAGCAGCACAUCUCCAUGAAUGCUGCUGGGGUCAUCUUUAUGCCCUAUUUUAUCAUGACUAUUAACUCUGACUAAUAUUUCUUUAAAGUUGGUUGUAGAUGUUUACUAUAAAUAUUUCUCUGUGACAUUAACAGGGACAUUAACAGGUGUGGUAAGGUCGUUGUCGACAUUGUAUUCCCAGUAAUUUAGAAUUUUUUUCUAUCUCUGAUAAGGAAUAAUGAUAGAGUAGGUAAAUUCCAACAUUAACAACAACAAGAAAAUAAUGAACUAGAUUUUGAUAUACUAACACGGAAUGUUCUUCCAGCUGUAUUGUUAAGCCAACAAAGUAUACAUAAUGUACAAGUAUAUGCAUGUAAAUGCACUAAAAGAAAAGAUUUGUAAGUGUAUACACCAAAUGAACAGACUUUACCUCUCAGAAGAAAAUAGUGUGGUAGGCGAAAGCAUAAAGAGGGAACUUUAGUUUUUACUACUCCAUAGUUUAGUAUUAUUUACUUUUUUAAAAAACCACAGGCACAUAUUUAUAUUUUAUUCUUUAAGAAACCUAAAGGGUUUCCUUGGCGAAGAAUGUGAAACACACACACACAAGAUGGGCACGGAGUAGUCUUGAAAGACAUGACAAUAUCACCAGACCUGAGAAGAAGCUAAAGAGCCAGAGGGAAAAAGUCAGAAGUCGACUACCUGGGAGGAGGGAUAGACAAGAGACCAAACUAAAGGAAACUAAGUGUGGGUCCAGCUUGUCCCCAAAGCUUGCCUUGCUUCGAAGCAUCCGAGGUAAAGAAUCUUCACCUAUGCCUGUGAUUUGUGGGUCUGAAGGAAACUAUCCAUCCUUGCAAAUGUCUUCUGCUGAGAUGCCUCACACGGAGACUGUCUCUCCUCUUCCUUCCUCCAUGGAUCUGCUUAUUCAGGACAGCCCCAAUUCUUCCACCAGUCCGAAAGGCAAACAACCUACUGCUGCAGAGAAUAGUGCCACAAAAAAGGAAGACAAGGUCCUGGUCAAGAAACAGAAGGCCAGAACGGUGUUCUCUUCCACCCAGGUGUGUACUCGAUAGAUUUCAGAGACAGAGAUACCUCAGUCUCCAGCAGAUGCAAGAACUUUCCAACAUCCUGAACCUCGGCUAGAAACAGGUGAAGACCUGGUUCUAGAACCAGAGAAUGAAAUCUAAGAGGUGGCUGAAAAACAAUUGGCCAAAGAAUACUAAUGGUGUGACUCAGAAGGGCUCAGCACCUACCUACCCCAGUCUCUACUCUUCCUACCACCAGGGAUGCCUGGUGAGCCCGACUGGGAACCUUCCUAUGUGGAGCAACCAGACCUGGAACAAUUCACCCUGGAGCAACCAGACCCAGAACAUCCCACCCUGGAGCAACCACUCCUGGAACGCUCAGACCUGGUGCACCCAGUCCUGGAACAAUCAGGCCUGGAACAGUCCCUUCUAUGACUAUGAAGAGGAAUCUCUGCAGUCUUGCUUGCAGUUCCAGCCAAAUUCUCCUGCCAGUGACUUGGAGGCUGCCUUGGAAGCUGCCGGGGAAGGCCUUUAAUGUAAUACAGCAGACGUCUAGGUAUUUUAGUACUCCACAAACCAUGGAUUUAUUCCUAAACUACUCCACGAACGUGCAACCUGAAGAUAUGUGAAGAUGAGUGAAAUUGAUAUUACUCAAUUUCAGUCUGGGCACUGGCUGAACCUUCCUCUCCCCUCCCUGAUAGGAUUUUUCUUGUUUGGAAACCACGUGUUCCGGUUUCCAUUAUGCCUGUCCAGUCAAUUUGAUGGACGGUGGAGUAUGGUUGGAGCCUAAUCAGAGAGGUUUCUUUUUUUCCUAUUGGAUCUUCCUGGAGAAAAGACAUUUUAAUAACUUUGGCUGCUAAGGACAACAUGAUAAAAGCUGUCUCUGGCUAUAGAUAAGUAGAUCUAAUACUAGUUUGGAUAUCUUUAGGGUUUAGAAUCUAACCUCAAGAAUAAGAAAUACAAGUACAAGUUGGUGUGAUGAAGAUACUCGAUUGUUUGGGAUUGGGAGGCUUUGCUUAUUUUUUAAAAACUAUUGAGGUAAACGGUUAAGCUGUAACAUACUUAAUUGAUUUCCUCACCCUUUUUGGCUCAGUUUUACUAUAUCCCCUGAUUUGUUGGUUAUGCUAAUCUUUGUAGAAAGAGGUCUUAUAUUUGCUGCAUCAUAAUGACAUUAGUACUACUUUAGUCAAUUUAAGUACAAAUGAAUCAAACAACUAUUUUUCCUUUAGUUGAUUUUACCCUUAUUUUACCUAGUGUUUCAAUGAGUAAAUAUACAGCUUAAACAUUAAAAAAAAAAAAAAAAAAGAAAAGGAAAAACAGAAGAAACCUAAAGGAAGUUUGCUUUUUUGAGAUUAAAAAGUAUUUAGGCAUGUAGGUUUUUGCAGAAUAGCAAGUCACCAACCAAGGGCCCUUUAUUUCCACAUAGAAAGGUAAGAACAUCAAGCUAUGUGAAGUGAACAAUAUCAAUCAUUGCAACUUCUAAUAUUAAGGGUAGAUUUGCAUGUAA